ACAUCAUUUGCACGUCAUUCCUUCCUGUCUCCAGCUGCUUCUUCCCAGCCCUCCUCCUUCUCUGCACACAGGAAACCUCAUUCUGUGGUGUGAACGGGGGAUUCCCGUCUUCCUGAAGCGACAUAGUCUUGAGCUGCCUGUGCCCUUCCCAUCGCAGUGAAUGUUGCCAGUUGGGGAUGACUGGGCAGCCAUGGGGAAGGGAGUAAAGCACGUGGCAUCAAGACUGCAGCAGAAGGCCAGGCGCAGUGGCUCACACCUGUAAACCCAGCACUUUGGGAGGCUGAGGGCGGGGGUGGAUCACCUGAGGUCAGGAGUUCAAGACCAGCCUGGCCAAAAUGGGGAAACCUCAUCUCUACUAAAAAUACCAAAUUAGCCAGGUGUGGUGGCACGAGCCUGUAAUCCCAGCUACUUGGGAGGCUGAGGCAGAAGAAUCACUUGAACCUGGGAGGCAGAGGUUGCCGUGAGCUGAGAUCAGGCCAUUGCACUCCAGCCUGAGCAACAAGAGUGAAACUCCAUAUAAAAAAAAAAAAAAAAAAAGAAAGAAAGAAAAAAGGCUGCAACAGAAGCGCAGGGCACCCUGGGAUCCCUGCAGCCUCUCACCUUCCACCUCUGUGCUGGGAUCCAUCAAUUCCCUUCCCAUUUGACUGUCAAAUCAGAAGGGUCUUUGCUAAUUUCAGCCUAAAUCGGGAGAAAGCUGACCUCGAUUUAGCUAGAAUGACAGUGAUGACUAAUUUGUACUCCAGAAUUAAUAAAGCUAGCUCUUCCCCCAUGGGGAGAGAAAGAUGAUGUGGUUUUCUUGCAUCUGCACUAACUGAGAUUGCUUUUUGGCAAGGAUAGAGAAAUGCUAAUUCUCCACACUCCCAGGAGGGGGUCUGCUGACAGCUCCUGGGCUGUCACCUGAAUUGGGGUGUGACUGGGCCAGGGAUAUCCCAAGCCAACCAGCCAGGCACCUGAAUGGGUGGGCUCUUGACCCCCUUGAGGCCACUGUGGUCUUUGAAGGAAAGUCAGUAGGUCUGGAAGCAAGCGUGGUGGGGACCCCUUCCCCCUGGGGGGCCAGGAACUCCUGUUAUAAGAGCUCCAACAGGCCUCCGUAUUUUCUGUCCCUUUUAUGGGCAAGAAUUCAAUUCUGUGUCCUGAGCAGGGGUUGUUCCGGUCAAUAAGCAACUUCAGUUCCUUGGGACAGGACGCCAGACUUGCUGGUAAUGACAUCAUUGUUUCUUUACUGGAAGACAGCAGCGUAUUCCAGGAUUCCAGGAGCGCAAUGCAGUAGAAAACAACCACUUGGCCCUAGAGACCGAGACUAAUUUCUGGGAAAGAGGCAGCCAGGCUCCUCGGCCUUAUGCAGGUCAUGAAGACUCAGCACACUGAGAUGGAAGGUCCUCAGUUCCCAGCUAAGCGAGCCUCCAAGGACUGUGACGUCCCAACCUUCGGACGAGGAUGGAGCGGGAGGAGACACAGCGCUGGCCAGGAGACCUGGCGUUGGGGCUCUGCCCCUGGUCUGGCUGAGCGAUCCGGGCAAGUCACUACCCUGGCCAAGGCCGGCUUUGUCGGCAGAGAAAUGGGUGAAUGCUGCCUCCGCUUGAAUCCAGAGUUUGUCAGGAUGCUAUGGAAAAAAUUAUGUGAAGGUUCUUUGUAACAUUAAAAAAAAUAAAAAAAA